CAAAAACAUCGCCUCUUGACUAAAUAUAAGAGGUCCAGCCUGCCCAGUGACACAUGUUCAACGGCCGCGGUAUCCUAACCGUGCGAAGGUAGCGUAAUCACUUGUUCUUUAAAUGGGGACUAGUAUGAAUGGCAUCACGAGGGUUAAACUGUCUCCUUUUUCUAAUCAGUGAAACUAAUCUCCCCGUGAAGAAGCGGGGAUUAUUCUAUAAGACGAGAAGACCCUAUGGAGCUUAAAACAAACUUACACUUGCUUUUAUAUAUUAAACUUCCUGAACAUUCACAUAAACUAUAGCACAACUGAUAAUUAGUUUUCGAUUGGGGUGAUCAUGGAGAAAAAAACAACCUCCACGACGAUAAGGGAGCCCCCCCCUGAGCCAAGAGCCACAACUUUAAGCACUAAAAAAUUAACGCACCUUGACCCAAUUACUUGAUCAACGAACCAAGUUACCCUAGGGAUAACAGCGCAAUCCACUUCAAGAGCUCCUAUCGACAAGUGGGCUUACGACCUCGAUGUUGGAUCAGGGUAUCCCAGUGGUGCAGCCGCUACUAAAGGUUCGUUUGUUCAACGAUUAAAACC
rnacentral:rRNA from 1 species